rnacentral:rRNA from 1 species
CCUACGGGAGGCAGCAGUGGGGAAUAUUGGGCAAUGGGCGCAAGCCUGACCCAGCAACGCCGCGUGAAGGAAGAAGGCCUUCGGGUUGUAAACUUCUUUUGUCAGGGACGAAGAAAGUGACGGUACCUGACGAAUAAGCCACGGCUAACUACGUGCCAGCAGCCGCGGUAAUACGUAGGUGGCAAGCGUUAUCCGGAUUUACUGGGUGUAAAGGGCGUGUAGGCGGGAGAGCAAGUCAGACGUGAAAUUCCAGGGCUCAACCCUGGAACUGCGUUUGAAACUGUUCUUCUUGAGUGAUGGAGAGGCAGGCGGAAUUCCGUGUGUAGCGGUGAAAUGCAUAGAUAUCACGCAGAACCCCGAUUGCGAAGGCAGCAUGCCGGCUUCCUACUGACGCUGAAGCACGAAAGCGUGGGGAUCGAACAGGAUUAGAUACCCUUGUAGUC